UAGCUCAAUGAAGCGAACCGGGAGAACUGAAACAUCUAAGUACCCCGAGGAAAAGAAAUCAACCGAGAUUCCGAAAGUAGCGGCGAGCGAAAUUGGAUUAGCCCUUAAGCUUUACAUGUGUUAGACGAACGGUCUGGAAAGUCCGACGAUACAGGGUGAUAGUCCCGUAGUUGACGAUGCAUGUUCAGUGAAAUCGAGUAGGGCGGGACACGUGUUAUCCUGUCUGAAUAUGGGGGGACCAUCCUCCAAGGCUAAAUACUCCUGACUGACCGAUAGUGAACCAGUACCGUGAGGGAAAGGCGAAAAGAACCCCUGUGAGGGGAGUGAAAUAGAACCUGAAACCGUGUACGUACAAGCAGUAGGAGCACCUUCGUGGUGUGACUGCGUACCUUUUGUAUAAUGGGUCAGCGACUUAUAUUCAGUGGCAAGGUUAACCAUCUAGGGGAGCCGUAGGGAAACCGAGUCUUAACUGGGCGCCAUAGUCUCUGGAUAUAGACCCGAAACCGAGUGAUCUAGCCAUGGGCAGGUUGAAGGUUGAGUAACAUCAACUGGAGGACCGAACCGACUAAUGUUGAAAAAUUAGCGGAUGACUUGUGGCUAGGGGUGAAAGGCCAAUCAAACUCGGAGAUAGCUGGUUCUCCCCGAAAGCUAUUUAGGUAGCGCCUCGGACGAAUACUACUGGGGGUAGAGCACUGUUAAGGCUAGGGGGUCAUCCCGACUUACCAACCCUUUGCAAACUCCGAAUACCAGUAAGUACUAUCCGGGAGACACACGGCGGGUGCUAACGUCCGUCGUGGAGAGGGAAACAACCCAGACCGCCAGCUAAGGUCCCAAAUUACAGCUAAGUGGGAAACGAUGUGGGAAGGCUUAGACAGCUAGGAUGUUGGCUUAGAAGCAGCCAUCAUUUAAAGAAAGCGUAAUAGCUCACUAGUCGAGUCGGCCUGCGCGGAAGAUGUAACGGGGCUAAGUUGUAAACCGAAGCUGCGGCAAUGUUCUUUGAACAUUGGGUAGGGGAGCGUUCUGUAAGCCGUUGAAGGUGUGUUGUAAAGCAUGCUGGAGGUAUCAGAAGUGCGAAUGCUGACAUGAGUAACGACAAGGGGGGUGAAAAACCUCCCCGCCGGAAGACCAAGGGUUCCUGUCCAACGUUAAUCGGGGCAGGGUAAGUCGACCCCUAAGGCGAGGCCGAAAGGCGUAGUCGAUGGGAAACGGGUUAAUAUUCCCGUACUUCUUACAAUUGCGAUGGGGGGACGGAGAAGGCUAGGUGGGCCUGGCGACGGUUGUCCAGGUUCAAGUGCGUAGGCU
rnacentral:rRNA from 1 species